AUUUCACUCACUUUUUCAUUUUACAAUGGAGAAACCAAGGCUCAGAGGAGUGAAGGAACUUGCCCAUUGCCACAUAUUGGGGUGGAUGUAAACUGAAGUGACUGUGGGGCUCAAUGAUCUCCCCUCAUCUGAGCAAGGCCCUCAAUACCCAGGAGUGGGCAUAGGCACCUGACUCUUGUCAGUCCAACCGAAUCAUUUCUCAGGGG
rnacentral:lncRNA from 1 species